GUUUGAUCCUGGCUCAGGAUGAACGCUAGCGGCAGGCUUAACACAUGCAAGUCGAGGGGUAUUAGUCUUCGGACUAAGAGACCGGCGCACGGGUGCGUAACGCGUAUGCAAUCUACCUUUUACAGAGGGAUAGCCCAGAGAAAUUUGGAUUAAUACCUCAUAGCAUUAUAGCAUGGCAUCAUUAUAUAAUUAAAGUCACAACGGUAAAAGAUGAGCAUGCGUCCCAUUAGCUAGUUGGUAAGGUAACGGCUUACCAAGGCUACGAUGGGUAGGGGUCCUGAGAGGGAGAUCCCCCACACUGGUACUGAGACACGGACCAGACUCCUACGGGAGGCAGCAGUGAGGAAUAUUGGACAAUGGGCGCAAGCCUGAUCCAGCCAUGCCGCGUGCAGGAUGACGGUCCUAUGGAUUGUAAACUGCUUUUAUACGAGAAGAAACACUCCUUCGUGAAGGAGCUUGACGGUAUCGUAAGAAUAAGGAUCGGC
rnacentral:rRNA from 1 species